rnacentral:misc_RNA from 1 species
GGCCUUUAUUAAUUUGAUUUUCACCAAUACCCCAUCGCUUCAAUGCAAGGACACAUGCUAAUGUAGAUGAUAGAGCAUCCUUGACUAAUAAUGGAUGGCGAUGAGCCCCAAGAGCCAUCACUUAGUUGAUUAUCAACUAUCCACUUUGCACACUCAGGAAAAAAAGGAGCUUCUGGGGUAUUUGGAGAUGGGACCAUUGC